ACCUACGGGACGCAGCAGUGGGGAAUAUUGCACAAUGGGGGAAACCCUGAUGCAGCAACGCCGCGUGAGUGAGGAAGUAUUUCGGUAUGUAAAGCUCUAUCAGCAGGGAAUAGAAAAGAAGGUACCUGAAAAAGAAGCCCCGGCUAACUACGUGCCAGCAGCCGCGGUAAUACGUAGGGGGCAAGCGUUAUCCGGAUUUACUGGGUGUAAAGGGAGCGUAGACGGCGAAGAAAGUCUGAAGUGAAAGCCCGCGGCUCAACCGCGGAAUGGCUUUGGAAACUUUUUUGCUGGAGUACCGGAGAGGG
rnacentral:rRNA from 1 species